CUUGCCAAUGCCUCCUGCACACCCGCUCCUCCCACGGGGCCUCCCAGAGCUGACCUCAGCCCAGGCCCUAUCAGCUGAGCCCCUGGGCAGCAUCUCGUCCACACCCCGCAGGGCCUGGGUGGGGCCGAGCAGGGGGCCCUGGCCCCCGUCUGCAGACCAGGCCGCCGAAGCUGCCGCUCACUCGGGUGCAGGAGAUCAGGGGAAGCAAAAGGUUAUUGGAGGAGAAAGGAAAACGUUGCCCCUAAUGCCAAGUUGUGCAACACAGGAGAAUCCUAUCAGCACAGGAGAACCAGGACUGGAACCCAGCCCCCCACAUGCCUAGCCUGGCCUGCUUCCUCUGGCCCACCUGUGGGGGUGUGGAUGCUGAGGGAUGUCAGAGCCCAGGGACGACCACUGCGGGUCUGAAGAGCCCUGGACGGUGGGCAUAGCGUAGGCAAGCGAAUGAACGGAUCUGCCCGGCUGCAGGGAGAAUGAGAGCGGAAAACGUAAGGAAGGUGUGAGGGGCUCCAUUUUACAGAGGGGGAAAGCGAGGCUCCCAGCGGGAAAGUGGCUUGCCCGAGAUCACCUGGCAGUCAUCGCCUGAGCCAGGAUUUGAAUCAAGGCCUGUCGAUUUCCAAGGCGGAUACUGCUGACACUGUUUCUCCUUAAACGAUGGAGUCCCACAGAAAGGUGGCUUUGCAGGCACAGUAAAGUACAAAGUCUCCAAGGCUGGUCUGGCUGCCUUGAAGGUCCAGCUGGGUGGCAGGGACUCAAAGGUCGACGGGUGAGAUGUUCUUGAUUUCUGGAGUCCUUCGGCCCCCAGGGCUGUUGGCUCUGACUGCCGAUAAAAAGACACGGAAACCUCUGUCCCAUUGUGACCCGUUGUCCUUCCGGUGCCAAGUUCUCAUAGCCCCUGUACCUCCCAACUGCUUCUAAUGAAUUCACUGUCCGCCUUGUUUUGUUGUCCCAAACUCAGGCCACCCUGGUUUUGCCUGGUGAGUGGCCUCUUUCAAAGGUGAGCUGGCCCUUCUCUGCCUCUGACAAUCAGGCCAUUCAAAGGCAGGCCAGCAUCUCCACGAGCAGGCCGAUGUUGUCCCACAGGCAGAUCUCCACUGCAGCCCGCAAAUGAGCGUGCAGGUAGGCGUGCCUGCACCCCAAUACCUAGGUGUGCAUUUUGUACGGGAGGCAGGGCAGGGCGAGAAGAGACAGUCCGAGAGGAUGUGGGGGCAGGGGGAUUGAAGACCGGGCCUUGGGACAACGUUAACGGCAGCUCUGCCCAAAAGUACACUAUUAUCAAGUAAGUUGAGAAAUGCCGAAAGUUCCAUCUCUUCCUUUAAGUUUGUGGUAUGGACAUCUGUGUGACAAAGGCUCAGAGAAGUCCUGCGGUCAGGAAUAUUUGUUGACUUUUAAUUGAGAAUUUCUGUGGUUUUUUUUCUCCUCCCUCUCUCUCGUCCUUCCUUCAACAAAUGCUCAAGACAUUCCUAAUAUCCACCAGGACUGUCUCAAGUGCUGGGGAUUCAGCAGUGAACAAAACAAAGCUCCUGCCCCCUUGGGGUUCACUCCAGAGGGAGGAGACCGACGACAAAUGUAAUAAGGAAAACACAGAGAGUGGGCGGUGGUUUACAAUUUUGAGUAUGGAGGUAGGAGAGCCCUUGCUGAGAAGGUGAUAUUUGAUCGGAGACAUGGGACAGGUGAGGAAACCCAUCAGGCAGACCCAUGGGGGAAGAGCAUUCCAAGCAGAGGGAACUGCAGGUGCUAAGACCCUGAGGCCUCAGCAUGCCUGGUGGGACAGGAGCAGCAGGGAGGCCAUCAGCCCCACCCCACAGGACACAUUGUAGCAUCUGCCAAAGCAGUUUGAGAAACUGGUGUCCAGACUGGACGUAUUCACACAAGCACUGACUCCUAGGUUCUCUCAGACAAAAUCAGGAGGCAUAUCAGUAUGGGGUCUACACUGCCACAUGGCAGAGGCUGAGUGGUGGCCAUCCCCUUUAGAGAAGGGUCUGUGUUCCCUGGGACGCCCCACCCAUACCGGACCUCAAGCCCCUCCAGCUGUACUCAUGGAUGUCACUUGCCCCGCCCCGAAGGCCAUCUGAAGGAGGUGGCCUCUGGGCGCCACUCGCUGUGCUAACACCCUAAAACUCUCUGCCCGCAGUGAGUACGACAGUCAUGCUUGGCCCGGCACAGUUCUGGGAACACAAUGGCCGCGCUGCAGACGUUUGGUCCCCACCCCUCCCCAGCUGCCUGGUGACCUCGGUUACCCUGCAACCCGGGAGGCUUGAGAUGCAUCCUGCAGGGUGUGCCCUGCCUAAGCCCUGUCCCCAUGUGGCCUGCAUCCGUGUGGCCAGUGCAACAGAAAUCGGGACCUCGUUCAGUUGGGGUGGACCUCAGAAAGCCUCAGUCGCCGUGGAUACUUCUUUGCGCCCAAUUCCAAAUUGGCCACUCUGCCCGCUCCCCAUCCUCUCACCCCAAACGCAACCCAACGUCACCUGUGGGCAGGAAUUCGCCAUCAGCACACAGAGAGGUGGGCAGCAUGGACUCCUACCACACAGACUUGGGAUGAAACCCAAGCUCUGUAACUCGGUAGCUGUUGCCGUAGCUGCUAUUGGUCAGGGUUCUCCAAAGAAGCAGAACCAAGAGGGCAUACAGGGAUCCAUAAGAGGAGAUUUAUUAUGAGAACUGGCUCACGUGAUUAUGGUGGCCAAGAAGCCCCACAAUCUGCCCUCUGCAGGCUGGAGACCCAGGAAAGGGAAAGGUGGUGAUAUGAUUCAGUCGGAGUCUGAAGGCCUGGAGAUCGGUGAAGCCAGCUGUGUGAAUGCGGCUCUGAGUCUGAAAGGCCAAGGAGCUGGAGCGCUGAUGUUCAAGGGCAGGAGACUAGAAGACGGGGGUCCCAGCUCCAGAAGAGAGAGCAAAUUCGCCCUUCCUCUUUUUGUUCUGCUCAGGCCCACAGAGGCUUAGAUGAAGCCCACCCACAUCAGCGAGGGGAUCUUCUGUAUCUGGUCUACUGAUUCAAAUAUUAAUCUCUUACAGAAACACCCUCACAGAAACACUCAGAAAUAAUGUUUUACCAGCCAUCUGGUCAUCCCUUAGCCCAGUCAAGGUGAUGCCUAAAAUUAGACAUCAUGAUGUCUAAUGUCUAGUCAUGACAUCCCUAAUUCUUCUGAACUUCAGGUUCCUAAAGUGUGAAAGGACAACAGCACUCCCCCCUGCUGCCCACCUUGGAGGGAGGGCUGCCGACAGGAUUAAAGGGGCCAGCCAGGUAAUGAACACGCGGGAAGUGGUCGCUGUGAGUGUCAUCAUCUCGGCCACAGGAGGACUUUGUGGCUUGGCAUUUCCAAACUAGAAGGGUCUAUCUCCCCAACUCCAUCAUGAAACCUGUUAGAAAU